rnacentral:rRNA from 1 species
CCCUUAGAUGUCCUGGGCCGCACGCGUGCUACACUGACGCAUACAGCGAGCACUUUCCAGUUCCGAGAGGCUACUGGUAAUCAUCAAUAUGCGUCGUGAUGGGGAUAGAUCUUUGGAAUUCUGGAUCUUGAACGAGGAAUGCCUAGUAAUCGCAGGUCAUUAGCCUGCGAUGAUUAAGUCCCUGCCCUUUGUACACACCGCCCGUCGCUACUACCGAUUUCGAGUGGUCAGGUGAAUCUUUCGGACUGUGGGCGCCCUUGAGGUGUUCGCGGAAAGUCAGGUAAAUCUUAUCACUUAGAGGAAGUAAAANUCGUAGCA